UACGUAGGUGGCAAGCGUUGUCCGGAUUUACUGGGCGUAAAGAGCGCGCAGGCGGCCGAGUAAGUCGAAUGUGAAAGCCCCCGGCUCAACUGGGGGAAGGUCAUUCGAUACUGUUCGGCUUGAAGAUAGGAGAGGGAAGCGGGAAUUUCAGGUGUAGUGGUGAAAUGCGUAGAUAUCAGGAGGAACACCGAUGGCGAAGGCAGUGGUCUGGGCCGAAACUGACGCUGAGGAGCGAAAGCGUGGGUAGCGAACAGG
rnacentral:rRNA from 1 species